GGAUGCGCCGACGGCUAUCAAGUCGCGGGAAUAGCAGGCGAGAUGCGGAUGGUGUUUCUGUCUUAAAUAUUAUAAUUUUGUGUGUUCAGAUAGCCCACCCCAAAAGCACAAGAGUGAAAGUCUUUGGUCCCCUUCAACUCCUGAGCAGCAACAACGGCAGCAGUGGCAUCUUCCCCUUUUUCCCCCUAAGGCUGUAGCUGCUCCACACAUAGUUGGAGGCCACAGAGCGCAACACCCUCCUCACACACUCCCCAGGAUUGGAC